rnacentral:rRNA from 1 species
AGCGAACGCUGGCGGCAGGCCUAACACAUGCAAGUCGAACGAACCUUUCGGGGUUAGUGGCGGACGGGUGAGUAACCCGUGGGAACGUGCCUUUAGGUUCGGAAUAACUCAGGGAAACUUGUGCUAAUACCGAAUGUGCCCUUCGGGGGAAAGAUUAAUCGCCUUUAGAGCGGCCCGCGUCUGAUUAGCUAGUUGGUUGAGGUAAUGGCUCACCAAGGCGACGAUCAGUAGCUGGUCUGAGAGGAUGAUCAGACACAUUGGGACUGAGACACGGCCCAAAAUCCUACGGGAGGCAGCAGUGGGGAAUCUUGCGAAAUGGGCGAAAGGCUGACGCAGCCAUGCCGCGUGAAUGAUGAAGGUCUUAGGAUUGUAAAAUUCUUUCACCGGGGACGAUAAUGACGGUACCCGGAGAAGAAGCCCCGGCUAACUUCGUG